AACGCGAAGAACCUUACCUGGUCUUGACAUCCCAGGAACCCUGUAGAGAUACGGGGGUGCCUUCGGGAACCUGGAGACAGGUGCUGCAUGGCUGUCGUCAGCUCGUGUCGUGAGAUGUUGGGUUAAGUCCCGCAACGAGCGCAACCCUUAUCCCUAGUUGCCAUCGGGUCAAGCCGGGCACUCUAGUGAAACCGCCCCGGAUAACGGGGAGGAAGGUGGGGAUGACGUCAAGUCCUCAUGGCCUUUAUGUCCAGGGCUACACACGUGCUACAAUGGUCGGUACAAACCGUCGCAAACCCGCGAGGGGGAGCUAAUCGGAAAAAGCCGACCUCAGUUCGGAUUGGAGUCUGCAACUCGACUCCAUGAAGCUGGAAUCGCUAGUAAUCGCGGAUCAGAACGCCGCGGUGAAUACGUUCCCGGGCCUUGUACACACCGCAUAC
rnacentral:rRNA from 1 species